rnacentral:rRNA from 1 species
GCGAAGUCGAACGGACAGGUAAUGAAACCUAGUGAUUUAUCUGUUAGUGGCGGACGGGUGAGUAACGCGUGGGUAACCUGCCGUAUACAGGGGAGUAACACUUAGAAAUAGGUGCUAAACGCAUAAGCGCACAGGAUCGCAUGGUCCGGUGUGAAAAACUCCGGUGGUAUACGAUGGACCCGCGUCUGAUUAGCUUGUUGGCGGGGUAGAGGCCCACCCAAGGCGACGAUCAGUAGCCGGCCUGAGAGGGUGAACGGCCACAUUGGGACUGAGACACGGCCCAAACUCCUACGGGAGGCAGCAGUGGGGAAUAUUGCACAAUGGGGGAAACCCUGAUGCAGCGACGCCGCGUGAGUGAAGAAGUAUUUUCGGUAUGUAAAGCUCUAUCAGCAGGAAAGAAAAUGACGGUACCUGACUAAGAAGCCCCGGCUAACUACGUG